rnacentral:rRNA from 1 species
GUAGAUGAACGCUGGCGGCAGGCUAACACAUGCAAGUCGAACGGUAACAGGAAGCAGCUUGCUGCUUCGCUGACGAGUGGCGGACGGGUGAGUAAUGUCUGGGAAACUGCCUGAUGGAGGGGGAUAACUACUGGAAACGGUAGCUAAUACCGCAUAACGUCGCAAGACCAAAGAGGGGGACCUUCGGGCCUCUUGCCAUCGGAUGUGCCCAGAUGGGAUUAGCUUGUUGGUGGGGUAACGGCUCACCAAGGCGACGAUCCCUAGCUGGUCUGAGAGGAUGACCAGCCACACUGGAACUGAGACACGGUCCAGACUCCUACGGGAGGCAGCAGUGGGGAAUAUUGCACAAUGGGCGCAAGCCUGAUGCAGCCAUGCCGCGUGUAUGAAGAAGGCCUUCGGGUUGUAAAGUACUUUCAGCGGGGAGGAAGGGAGUAAAGUUAAUACCUUUGCUCAUUGACGUUACCCGCAGAAGAAGCACCGGCUAACUCCGUGCCAGCAGCCGCGGUAAUACGGAGGGUGCAAGCGUUAAUCGGAAUUACUGGGCGUAAAGCGCACGCAGGCGGUUUGUUAAGUCAGAUGUGAAAUCCCCGGGCUCAACCUGGGAACUGCAUCUGAUACUGGCAAGCUUGAGUCUCGUAGAGGGGGGUAGAAUUCCAGGUGUAGCGGUGAAAUGCGUAGAGAUCUGGAGGAAUACCGGUGGCGAAGGCGGCCCCCUGGACGAAGACUGACGCUCAGUGCGAAAGCGUGG